ACGUGGGGCUUGCUCCCUGAUUUAGCGGCGGACGGGUGAGUACACGUGGGCAACCUGCCUAUAAGACUGGGAUAACUUCGGGAAACCGGAGCUAAUACCGGAUACGUUCUUUUCUCGCAUGAGAGAAGAUGGAAAGACGGUUUACGCUGUCACUUAUAGAUGGGCCCGCGGCGCAUUAGCUAGUUGGUGAGGUAAUGGCUCACCAAGGCGACGAUGCGUAGCCGACCUGAGAGGGUGAUCGGCCACACUGGGACUGAGACACGGCCCAGACUCCUACGGGAGGCAGCAGUAGGGAAUCUUCCGCAAUGGACGAAAGUCUGACGGAGCAACGCCGCGUGAACGAAGAAGGCCUUCGGGUCGUAAAGUUCUGUUGUUAGGGAAGAACAAGUACCAGAGUAACUGCUGGUACCUUGACGGUACCUAACCAGAAAGCCACGGCUACUACGUGCCAGCAGCCGCGGUAAUACGUAGGUGGCAAGCGUUGUCCGGAUUUU
rnacentral:rRNA from 2 species